UCUCGUGGGCUCGGAGAUGUGUAUAAGAGACAGGUACCAAACCCAACCAAACUCCGAAUGCCGGUAACUUUGAGUGCGGGAGUCAGACUGUGGGCGAUAAGGUCCAUGGUCAAAAGGGAAAGAACCCAGACCGCCAGCUAAGGUCCCUAAAAUGCACUAAGUGGAAAAGGAUGUGGAGUUGCAGAGACAUCCAGGAGGUUGGCUUAGAAGCAGCCAUCCUUUAAAGAAAGCGUAAUAGCUCACUGGUCUAGUGGCUCUGCGCCGAAAAUGUAACGGGGCUCAAGUGCAUUACCGAAGCUGCGGGUUGUGCACUUCUUCGGAAGUGAACAGCGGUAGGGGAGCAUUCCAGAGGCCUGUGAAGCCAGACCGUGAGGACUGGUGGAGGUAAUGGAAGUGACUAUGCUGACAUGAGUAGCGAUAAUGCCGGUGAGAAACCGGCACGCCGAAAGCCUAAGGUUUCCUGGGGAAGGGUAAUCCGCCCAGGGUAAGUCGGCCCCUAAGCCGAGGCCGAAAGGCGUAGGUGAUGGGAAACGGGUUAAUAUUCUCGUACCACCAUUUUACCGUUUGAGUGAUGGGGGGACGCAGAAGGGUAGGCCAUUCCCGUGAUGGAAUACGGGAUUCAAGCCUGUAGGUGGAGAGAGCAGGCAAAUCCGCUCUUUUAUCAAACACCGAGAGGUGACGAGGAGAGACUUCGUCUCAUAAACUGGUUGAUCCCAUGCUGCCAAGAAAAGCCUCUAGCGAGGUGAAAUGGUGACCGUACCGCAAACCGACACAGGUAGGUGGGGUGAGUAUCCCAAGGCGCUCGAGAGAACUCUGGUUAAGGAACUCGGCAAAUUGACACCGUAACUUCGGGAGAAGGUGUGCCCUCAUUAGGUGAAAAAACUAGCUUUUGGAGCCGAAGGGGGUUGCAGAGAAAUGGGGGUGGCGACUGUUUACUAAAAACAUAGGACUCUGCUAAGUCGUAAGACGAUGUAUAGGGUCUGACGCCUGCCCGGUGCUGGAAGGUUAAGGGGAUCCGUUAUUCAUCUUCGGAUGGAGAAGCGUUGAACCGAAGCCCCAGUAAACGGCGGCCGUAACUAUAACGGUCCUAAGGUAGCGAAAUUCCUUGUCGGGUAAGUUCCGACCUGCACGAAUGGCGUAACGACUUCCCCACUGUCUCGACCAGGGACUCGGUGAAAUUGAAUUCGCGGUGAAGAUGCCGUGUACCCGCGGAAAGACGGAAAGACCCCGUGAACCUUUACUACAGCUUGACAUUGGACUUUGGGCUAGUAUGUGUAGGAUAGGUGGGAGACUAUGAAAUCUCGACGCCAGUCGGGAGGGAGUCGCCCUUGAAAUACCACCCUUAUUAGUUUAGGGUUCUAACCUGGGCCCGUAAUCCGGGUCGGGGACAGUGUCUGGUGGGUAGUUUGACUGGGGCGGUCGCCUCCUAAAGAGUAACGGAGGCGCGCGAAGGUUCCCUCAGGCUGAUUGGAAACCAGCCGAAGAGUGUAAAGGCAUAAGGGAGCUUGACUGCGAGAGAGACAUCUCGAGCAGGUACGAAAGUAGGUCUUAGUGAUCCGGCGGUUCUGUAUGGAAGGGCCGUCGCUCAACGGAUAAAAGGUACUCCGGGGAUAACAGGCUUAUCGCGUCCAAGAGUUCACAUCGACGACGCGGUUUGGCACCUCGAUGUCGGCUCAUCGCAUCCUGGGGCUGGAGCAGGUCCCAAGGGUUUGGCUGUUCGCCAAUUAAAGCGGUACGUGAGCUGGGUUUAGAACGUCGUGAGACAGUUCGGUCCCUAUCUUCCGUGGGCGUAGGAUACUUGAGAGGAUCUUUCCCUAGUACGAGAGGACCGGGAUGGACGAACCCCUGGUGUUCCAGUUGUCGCGCCAGCGGCACAGCUGGGUAGCUAUGUUCGGAAUGGAUAACCGCUGAAAGCAUCUAAGCGGGAAGCCAACCUCAAGAUUAGGUAUCCCCUCCCCCGAUUCGUCGGGGGGCUGAAGACCCCUUGUAGACUACAAGGUCGAUAGGCCAGGUGUGUAAGUGUGGCAACACAUUUAGCUGACUGGUACUAAUAGGUCGUGAGGCUUGGCC
rnacentral:rRNA from 1 species